rnacentral:rRNA from 1 species
UACGUAGGAUGCAAGCGUUGUCCGGAAUUACUGGGCGUAAAGGGCGAGCAGGUGGCACUACAAGUCUGAUGUAAAAUCUCCCGGCUUAACUGGGAGGGGCCAUUGGAAACUCCCUUUCUUGAGUGUCGGAGAGGAAAGUGGAAUUCCUGGUGUAGAGGUGAAAUUCGUAGAUAUCAGGAGGAACACCGGUGGCGAAGGCGACACGCUGGGCCGUACCUGACACUGAUGCGCGACAGCAUGGGGAGCAAACAGG